rnacentral:rRNA from 1 species
AACGCCCGCUGGCGGCAUGCCUAAUACAUGCAAGUCGAACGAUCACUUCGGUGGUAGUGGCGCACGGGUGCGUAACGCGUGGGAAUCUGCCCCUGGGGUCGGAAUAACAUCUGGAAACGGAUGAUAAUACCGGAUGAUGACGUAAGUCCAAAGAUUUAUCGCCCAGGGAGGAGCCCGCGUAGGAUUAGCUAGUUGGUGGGGUAAAGGCCUACCAAGGCGACGAUCCUUAGCUGGUCUGAGAGGAUGAUCAGCCACACUGGGACUGAGACACGGCCCAGACUCCGACGGGAGGCAGCAGUAGGGAAUAUUGGACAAUGGGGGCAACCCUGAUCCAGCAAUGCCGCGUGAGUGAUGAAGGCCUUAGGGUUGUAAAGCUCUUUUACCCGGGAUGAUAAUGACAGUACCGGGAGAAUAAGCCCCGGCUAACUCCGUGCCAGCCGCCGCCGUAA